CGCUGACAGCGCGCCCGGCCCCGCCUUCCAACGCCCCUCCGACAGCGGCGGUUGACGGUCAGCUCGAGCAGCCAACACGAGAGCGAGCUGCCGUCGGGAGCCGUAGGCUCCCUUCAGGUACUUGAAGGCCACAGUGAAAUUUCCCCAGAACCAUCUCUUCUCCAAGAUAAACAAGACCAACUCUCUUCCUUCAUAGGAGAGGGGAGAAGAAUACGUAAGUCUGUCUUUCUCACCUUGAGAACUUCAGCAUUGAGCCAUCAUUUUGUGCCACAGGAUAAUUUGUAAGCUUGCACUACUGUGACCCACAACAGUGAAGCCAAUAAUAAGACUCUGCAUUACAGUUUGUGUGUUAGCAGCCAGCAAUUUCUGUGAGAAAUUACAAGUGCUUAAACAAAGCAAUAAUGAAAUCUGGAAGUUAGAAGAUCCACGCAUGGAAAUUAUUUACUUAUUUGCCUGUGUUCCAGUGUAGCAAGUGGCAAUACAUGUGGUUAUGAUAUAACAUCUUGCAUGGAAAGAAAAAUGUCUGUCACAGGAUGAGUGUCUGAAGGGAUUUAGACAUAUGGUUAACAUGCCAGCUGAGUAGUAGCUACUCUGAAAAUCUUUUUCUUUUAAGAAAUAACCUGUAUAUCUUUAGAAACUUGGAGUCCUCAUUGGAUAUUUACUGUGCAUCCAGAGGAAUGAAUAAUGUAUCACUGAAAGAUUGUGACUAAUAAGUACACAGGGAACACUUAAUAGUUUGUAUGGAAUAAAUCCAAGAGACUACCUAGAUUUACAGCAUAAAGAAUCUUUAGAAGCAUGGAGAGGCCAAAAUAAGUGAAACUGUGGUCACUUUCUUUUCUCAAGAAGCCAUGCUUGCCAGGAAGAGGCCAGACUAUGCUGUUGUGGAUGGAGAAGUGAUAUGAUGUUUCUAUAGAAACAGGUUAGCAAUGAAAACGAAACUGAGAGUAAUUACUAGAAUAUGUCUGACUGUUGCAGCCAAGUGUAGAGCAGCAAUGCCUUACAUGGUAUCUUGUAGAACCAGGAACUCAGCAAACACUUAGACAAAAUCCUUUUUCAGGAAUAUAAUUGGAAGGAGAUUCUUCUUACUGCUGUCCAGCACAAGGACAGCAGUAAGAAGGCAUAUGGGAAAGAUUUUUCGUCUGUUAAUUUAUAAUCAAGCUAAUUCAAUUUUACAACCAUUCCACCCUACCCUUGUUGUGAAUUAUGUCUGAAGCACAGGCUGCCCUUUGAUGUGGGUUAGGGCUCCUACUGAAACUUAAUUUCAGUAAGAUAACAGCCACUUACCUGGAAGUUAUAAAGCAUUUCUUACUGUUCCUUUUCCCUUAGGCAUCUGCAACAGAAGUUUCUAUUCAGCCAAAACACUGUUUAUUGAUUAAGGCUGAUGUACUUCAGAACUUUUUCUUUCUUUUAAUUGAAUGUUAGAUAAUGUUUUGUGAUCUCAGUAAUUUCAUUGAUUUCAUUCAUCAUAUAUUGAACAGUAUUUGUAGCUACUAAAAAAAUUAAUCUCUUUAGUAUAAAGAAGAAAAAAAAAGAUUAUAAUCAGAUAGAUAAUAAAGCCAAUGAAUAAGGGAAAAUGAUCUUAUGAUUUGCAUGUUUAUAGGUCAUUAUUUAAUUUAAUAUGAAAUGUGCAUAAAUUUGGUGAAAUAAAUAGCAUCUGGAUUUGCAUCUAGGAAUGGAAUCUGAGUGCAUAAGUAUGAAUAAGUAUUAAUUAUGAUUUCAUGAAAUGCAAGGAUAUGAAGGACAAUUUUGAACGAGCUUUGUAAGUUUAUUUUCCAUGCCUAUCUUGAGUAUUCGUCAUUUUGUGAUUCAUGCAAACAGAAAGAUGUAAAACACUUCAUUCUUUACUUUUAUUAUCAUUAUUUACUAGUUAUCCAUUGAAUUAAACUUGUAUCCAUUAAGCAAGACUUUUUCCCCUUCAGUUACGUCUGAAUAAUCAACUAAAAUAAACUGAAGUGCUUCUCAGAAAGCAUUUAGUGCUGAUUUCUAGCCAAAACCAAACAGCCUCUGCACCACAAAGCAGAUAUUAUGUAUUGCUGAAAGUAUGGAGGCUUUAGCAAUCAAAGAGUGUCUACCAACCUGUUUACAUAAGGGUGGAAAAUCCUUAUGCAUCACUUCAAAAAGACUCUUAUGUAUUAAUUGCUGGAGAGAAGCAGGUCAAAUCACAAAAUGCGAAUGUAUUGAGAUGUAAUGAGGACAUUGUUUAGAAUAUUGGAUUGCAUUUUUGUUUAUAUUUCUGUGUUAUCAACAGAUUGUGUAAGUUGUGAAUGAAUCUUGAGCAAAGCUAGUGGGUACUAUAGCCUUUAUAUUCCUUCCUUUUUAAAUUAAAAUCUUUCUCCUAACUGCUUUUGUUUUAUUCUAUCAAUACACAAUAAGUGUGUUAGAAAACAAAGUAAUUUUUCUCUUUUGCAGAAAAUUUUGAAUGUUUUAGAAAUUCAAAUUCUACAUUCAAAAAAAAAAGAAAAAAAAAAAGGUAAACUCUUCAUGAUAAUUACACACAAAUACUUUUUAAACUCAUAUUGCAUUUGUGCUGUAUAAAAUCAGGGUUGUUAAUCAGUUCUUCAUUACCUAAGUUAAAAACUGGUAUUAUUACGUCUGGCCUUCACUUUUAUCUUCAUGUUAUUACCAAAAGUUCAAAUGCUACCUUAAGAACAGAAGAGGCUUUAACAGAGAUCUGUCUUUGCUAGUCCAAAAUGUUUGGUACCACCUGGCCCUAAUAGUGUAUUGCAGCAUUCUUUCUGACUGCUUUCCUCCAGAUAGCACAUAUAGACGUCUUAGAUUCAUAUGGUGCUUUGAUUUACCAGCAUACCUGUAAAUUCAAGGGAAAAAUAUGCUCCCAUGGAAAUAAUACAAGUUCUUUUUGUUGAAAAUCUAAAGAGGCUAGAAUUUGCAAGCUUCUCCAGCAGGAACUAAAAUAUCUUUCUGUAGUUGCUGCUUGGAACUCAUGGCAAGAUGCCUAAAAAAUUCCAAAUCCUGAUAAAUCUUCCUCAGUGGCAGAAUAUUUGGAUAGAUAUUUUACUAUGAAAUAUGAAAUGAUUAAUUAGGUGAGGAUUUAAAUCCAGCAAAUCUCUUAACUCCUUUACUAUUGCAGACUUGUUUUUCUUCACUUAUAUUUUCUGUAUUGAAUAUUUUGAUUAAAAGGUAUCUUUUCUAUGCUGAUUAAAAUGGGUUCUGACUGUUAUGAAAAUAAAUAUUCAGCACAGUAAUUGUACCCUCACAUGCUAACUCAAUUUAGAAAUGGCUACUCUUAAGGAAUAAAACUUUUCACUAAAGUCAUUGGAAAAGUAAUGGAAAUUCAGUAGUGGAAAGGAAAUAGGACAGAAAUGGAAUUAUGAAUAGAUGCACAAUAAAACAGGUAGCACAACUACUAUGCUCACUGUUUAUCCUGAAUACAAGUUUUAGAGUGCCAUAUCGAUUGUAUCUUUUCAUGAAAUGCCCUCCAUAUUUUUUUUUAGUAAAAUGAGUAAACAUCAACACAUUUACAUGCUUUCUUGCAUCUUUUUUAUUAAGACUAAAGUUAUUGUAAAUAGGUUAGAAAAAAUAUCUUGACAAAAAAUAUCUUGAAAACAAUAAGUUAAGUAACAUGUUUAAAUAGGAACCGUGUGUAUAU